GAUUGGUCAGUGUCAGGGCAGGGGGUCUUCAGUCACUGCAGCUGAUCCUGAGGAAGCCACUUGUUAC